GAUGAACGCUGGCGGCGUGCCUAAUACAUGCAAGUCGAGCGAACAGAUAAGGAGCUUGCUCCUUUGACGUUAGCGGCGGACGGGUGAGUAACACGUGGGUAACCUACCUAUAAGACUGGGAUAACUCCGGGAAACCGGGGCUAAUGCCGGAUAACAUUUAGAACCGCAUGGUUCUAAAGUGAAAGAUGGUUUUGCUAUCACUUAUAGAUGGACCCGCGCCGUAUUAGCUAGUUGGUAAGGUAACGGCUUACCAAGGCAACGAUACGUAGCCGACCUGAGAGGGUGAUCGGCCACACUGGAACUGGGACACGGUCCAGACUCCUACGGGAGGCAGCAGUAGGGAAUCUUCCGCAAUGGGCGAAAGCCUGACGGAGCAACGCCGCGUGAGUGAUGAAGGUCUUCGGAUCGUAAAACUCUGUUAUUAGGGAAGAACAAAUGUGUAAGUAACUGUGCACGUCUUGACGGUACCUAAUCAGAAAGCCACGGCUAACUACGUG
rnacentral:rRNA from 1 species